rnacentral:lncRNA from 1 species
CGAGGAGAAGAAUACUUGUCUAGUGAGUUUCUUAAUUAUUUAAAAUAAAAUAAAAUUUUUUUCUCAAUAGAUACCUCCUUAUACCAAAACUCCAUUUACUGGACAUGGAGAAAGGGCGAGUGACAUAUUAGACUUAUACAUACUGAUAUUUGUGGUCUAAUGUCGACUCAAGCCAGAGAUGGAUACUCUUAUUUCAUCACAUUUACUGAUAAUAGGUUUAGAUUUAGAU